CAACUGCCACUCUGCAACUGCCACUCUGUAACUGCCACUCUGCAAGGCUUCCCACAGGGGCUGUCAAAGUAGUCAGCUGUCUCUGCAAUUGUUUAAGUUUGAGAAUCUGUGUUGGGUACUUCCUAUAUAGCCAGGUGGUCUUAGAUGGCUCCUGUGAAAGGGAUCGCAACCCACCCACCUGUUGAGAACCCCUGAUCUAGCUUCCAGAGGCCCCUCCCUGAGCUUAUGGUGACAAUUGCUGCAGAGAGGAGACUCUCAACAGUGUGGAUGAGUUGCUGGCAAGUUGUGCUAGGAGCCAAAAGGAUGCAGCUUUCGUGAGUCAUCACGGUAGACGACGAGACAUUUUGAUGAUGUGGGACUCUGACUCACCUGCACUCCUGUAACUAACCCCUCACCUAGACUCCAAGAAACCCCAGGAAACUCACUCGUUUGUCUAGCUGCCCUUAUCUGGAAUCCUUCCUUUGUUCUGUUUUUGGUGUCUUCUCUGGGCUGAACAAUGUUUGUUCCCAUGGCCCCAGAAAAAGCCAUACAACACAAGGUUAGACUUUAUGGUGAGACUCCACUGAGAAAAGGCUGCCCGGAGGGUGUGAGGAGAGGCUGACAGCAGCAUCGAUGAAGAGAUU